UACGUAGGGGGCAAGCGUUGUCCGGAUUUAUUGGGCGUAAAGCGCUCGCAGGUGGUCCGCUGCGUCGUGCGUGAAAGACCCCGGCUCAACUGGGGAGUGUCGUGCGAUACGGGCGGACUGGAGGCCAGUAGGGGGAUGCGGAAUUCCGGGUGUAGAGGUGAAAUUCGUAGAUAUUCGCAAGAACACCAGUGGCGAAGGCGGCUCACUGGCCCGGUACUGACGCUGAGGUGCGAAAGCGUGGGGAGCAAACAGG
rnacentral:rRNA from 1 species